rnacentral:lncRNA from 1 species
AGAUUCAGUUUGAGGUGGUCACGUGUACUACAUUAGGGAUCAUAUUGUCGUCCAACAUACACAUAGCCAGCUAAGAGUAUUUAUUCAGCAGGGUUAUGAACUCCACUCCCAAAUCUCCAUUGUCCAAGCAAAGCAAACAAUAAGCCAAUAUGCUACACACUUGACUUUCUGAAGCGCUAACUGAAGCUAUCCUUCCUUCCAGGGGAAGGUACACAACGCUACUAAGAUUGUACAGAAAGGUGAAUACACAGAGGACCAAACCAAGGCUCCAAAACCUGUAGACUCGUCUAUGCUUUUUCUAUGGAACAUGUCCUACAACAACCGACCGACCGACCGACACCAUGUUGCUAGCGUUUUCUGUACAAAACUGCUGCCAUAUCUAGCUCAGGGGCUGAAAUCUCUUCAGCUGUGAGUUUUGAAUCAUCCAUCAUUCACGACUGCCUGCCCUGAUUAGCUGACGAUGCACCGUUGGGAGACGGAGGGGUUGACGGUUGGCCGCUCCUGUGGGGCGCAACUCCGUUCUGAUUCUCUUUGUGACUCGAGUCGGAGUUCUCUUCCUUGUCAUCUGACUUUGAGUUGAGAAACCGACCUCCAGCUCCCCUGGCCCUUUUCAAGGCAUGCUGAUGACGUGACUCAUGGAGAUAGGGCUGCACAGCAUAGAUGUAGCCGAGUCAGUUUUUUUUUUUUACUUCAGAUGACUUAACAGUUCAACCACAGAAAGUUGAAGGAAACAAGCAAUCGAGUUAUUCUAAUUUCAGAUGAUACCAAAGAGUAAGGAACAUGUGCGAUCAACUUGCAGUGAGAUCAUCUAAGCUUGGCAGAAGUUUAUAGGAUUUUCUAAGUCGGUAGCUGCAUCUUUGUACCAGUCUUCCAUUUUUGAGAAAUAAUCAUGGUACUAACAAGUUCAACUCUCUCUAGCUUAAAGUAGCAUACAGAUAAAAACAGAAAGCAUUUCAGCUUACUCGAUGUUGCAACUUUGUCAAUGUGUGGCACCCAAUUUACGUUCAUAAAUCCUUUACUGCUUUUGUGAUAAGCAACGCCCGUGAAGGCAUUGAAAAAAAACGUGGCAUGUCGAAAUUUCAGAUAUCAGAGAACAUCGAACAACAACAACAACAACAACAACAAAGCCUUUUUGUCCCAAGCACGUUGGGGUAGGCUAGAGAUGAAACCCCGUAUGAAAACCUCAGAGCUCAACCCCCAAAGAACAGAAAAGGGAAACAAAGGCAAAGGAGAACCGAAAACAACGAAACGGGGAAACACAUAAAAGAGAUAAAACCCACAAGGACCAGCAAGAUCUAAAAUGGACACAAGAAAAGGUCAAACGAUUAAGGAGGAAAAGCGAAACUAUCAAUCAGGGUUCUGGCACGUGAAUUGCACACUUCCACCCCUUCCUAUCUGCGGCGAGCUCUUUGUCAAUAUUCCACUCCUUCAGGUCUCUCUUCACAGCCUCUGUCCACGUCAAAGUUGGUCGACCUCUACCUCUCUUCACAUUUUCGGGACGCCUAAUUAUUCCGAUAUGCACUGGUGCCUCUUCAGGUCUUCGUUGGAUAUGUCCAAACCAUCUCAAGCGAUGUUGCAUAAGCUUCUCCUCAAUUGGCGCCACUCCUACUCUCUCUCGUAUAUCAUCAUUCCGGACUCGAUCUCUCCUUGUGUGGCCACAUAUCCAGCGCAACAUACGCAUCUCUGCCACACUUAGUUGUUGGACAUGUCGUCUUUUAGUGGGCCAACAUUCUGCUCCAUACAACAUAGCCGGCCGGAUUGCUGUCCUGUAGAAUUUGUCUUUUAGUUUGCGUGGCACCCGGUGGUCGCAUAAGACACCCGCAGCUUGUCGCCACUUCAACCAUCCGGCUUUAAUUCUAUGACUGACAUCCUCAUCGAUGUCUCCCUCCUUUUGAAGCAUUGAUCCUAAGUAACGAAAAGUGUCUUUCUUGGGUACCACUUGCCCAUCAAGACUAACAUCGCCAUCCUCAUACCCCAUGGCACUGAAAUCACACUUCAUAUACUCUGUUUUAGACCUACUAAGCCUAAAACCUUUUGCUUCCAGCGUCUGCCUCCACAAUUCCAACUUUUGAGAAACACCACUCCUACUCUCCUCAAUAAGUACCACAUCAUCGGCAAAAAGCAUACACCACGGUAAAACUCCUUGUAUGUCCCUUGUGACCUCAUCUAUCACCAAAGCGAAAAGAUAAGGGCUCAAAGCCGACCCUUGAUGUAGUCCUAUGUUAAUUGGAAAGUCAUCGGUGUCUCCAUCACUUGUUCGGACACUUGUCACAACAUUAGUGUACAUAUCUUUAAUAAGAUUAAUGUACUUUGUUGCUACUUUGUGUUUUUCCAAGGCCCACCACAUUACACUCCUAGGUACUUUGUCAUAAGCCUUCUCCAAGUCUAUGAAGACCAUAUGCAGGUCUUUCUUUUGUUCUCUGAAUCUCUCCAUAAGUUGUCUUAGUAAGAAAAUGGCCUCCAUAGUUGAUCUCCCGGGCAUGAAACCAAACUGAUUUUGGGUCACGCUCGUCAUCUUUCGCAGGCGGUGUUCAAUGACUCUCUCCCAUAGCUUCAUUGUAUGGCUCAUGAGCUUAAUUCCACGGUAAUUAGUACAACUUUGAACAUCUCCUUUGUUCUUGAAGAUUGGUACUAAUGUACUCCGCCGCCACUCGUCGGGCAUUCUGUUUGCCCGAAAGAUGGUGUUGAAAAGCUUAGUCAGCCAUACUAUCGCUAUGUCUCCAAGACAUCUCCAUACCUCGAUAGGGAUACCAUCAGGGCCCAUCGCCUUUCCUACCUUCAUCCUUUUUAGCGCCUCCUUAACUUCAUAUUCUUGUAUCCUUCGUACAAAACCCCUGUUGUUGUCAUCGAAUGGUUCGUCCAAUUCUAUUGUAGCACUCUCAUUCCCUCCAUUGAACAAUUUGUUGAAGUACUCCUUCCAUCUGUUCUUGAUCUCUUCACUCUUCACUAAUAGUUGGUUUGCUUCGUCCUUGAUGCAUUUGACUUGGUUGACAUCCCUUGUCUUCCUUUCACGAAUCUUCCUUUCAGAGAACAUCGAAAUUAAAAUAAAAUUCACCAGCAGAUUUACAGUACAACGUGAGGCAGAUCGAUCUUGAAGUGGAAGUAGGGAAGGUAGAUUGGAGAAAUUCGCUUGGUUAUUUGCUCUAGCAUCAUGGGCAGAAAAAAAGCUAAUUAACAUUUCCAAUUCAUAUGGCAAUGCAGAACAUGGUUACAAAGAUUUACCUUACGCCCCUUGAUAAGCUUUCGUUCUGAUUCAGCUUUAGCCCGAGAUUGACGCCGUCUUAAUAUGGCAUUGUAUUGCUUUGCAUUUACAU